AGGAUCCAAAUGCCUCUGAGAGCACCAGACCCCAGGAUCCAAAUGCCUCUGAGAGCACCAGACCCCAGGAGUCAAAGCCUGGACUUUACAGAGGAAAUGUCUCAGACCAGAAGAAGCGGUGGCAGCCUCCCACCUGCAGCGCGAUCUGUCUCAACUCCCAUUCCGUCUCCAGAGCCAAAGUUUGGAGGGAACGUGAGCUCGGGUCAGGACACACCAGGACAGCCUCAUCCACCACACCACAGGCUCCGGACAGGUGCUGCAGCCAUGGAGUUGAAACCCUAACCUACAGAAAUGUCAUCGUUAACAGGAAGCUCAUAAAAGAUUUUUACAUUUCCCUCUCAGCCCAACAGCAAUAUUGCUGCCAGCAUCCCACUGGGGGUCCUAAGCUCAAAGGUUCUUCAUGGUUGGUUGUAUAGGAGUUCUUCCUGUCCCCUGAAACCCCACCCUCCAACCUCCUGAGAGCCUUCAAAGCUGGAAAAAAUAUCAGGAUUUUCUUUCUGGUCACUGGAAAAAUAUACCCGAUAAUUUUAAAUACCUGA